GGUUAAGCGACUAAGCGUACACGGUGGAUGCCCUGGCAGUCAGAGGCGAUGAAGGACGUGCUAAUCUGCGAUAAGCGUCGGUAAGGUGAUAUGAACCGUUAUAACCGGCGAUUUCCGAAUGGGGAAACCCAGUGUGAUUCGUCACACUAUCAUUAACUGAAUCCAUAGGUUAAUGAGGCGAACCGGGGGAACUGAAACAUCUAAGUACCCCGAGGAAAAGAAAUCAACCGAGAUUCCCCCAGUAGCGGCGAGCGAACGGGGAGCAGCCCAGAGCCUGAAUCAGUGUGUGUGUUAGUGGAAGCGUCUGGAAAGGCGCGCGAUACAGGGUGACAGCCCCGUACACAAAAAUGCACAUACUGUGAGCUCGAUGAGUAGGGCGGGACACGUGGUAUCCUGUCUGAAUAUGGGGGGACCAUCCUCCAAGGCUAAAUACUCCUGACUGACCGAUAGUGAACCAGUACCGUGAGGGAAAGGCGAAAAGAACCCCGGCGAGGGGAGUGAAAAAGAACCUGAAACCGUGUACGUACAAGCAGUGGGAGCACAGAGCAAUCUGUGUGACUGCGUACCUUUUGUAUAAUGGGUCAGCGACUUAUAUUCUGUAGCAAGGUUAACCGAAUAGGGGAGCCGAAGGGAAACCGAGUCUUAACUGGGCGUUAAGUUGCAGGGUAUAGACCCGAAACCCGGUGAUCUAGCCAUGGGCAGGUUGAAGGUUGGGUAACACUAACUGGAGGACCGAACCGACUAAUGUUGAAAAAUUAGCGGAUGACUUGUGGCUGGGGGUGAAAGGCCAAUCAAACCGGGAGAUAGCUGGUUCUCCCCGAAAGCUAUUUAGGUAGCGCCUCGUGAAUUCAUCUCCGGGGGUAGAGCACUGUUUCGGCAAGGGGGUCAUCCCGACUUACCAACCCGAUGCAAACUGCGAAUACCGGAGAAUGUUAUCACGGGAGACACACGGCGGGUGCUAACGUCCGUCGUGAAGAGGGAAACAACCCAGACCGCCAGCUAAGGUCCCAAAGUCAUGGUUAAGUGGGAAACGAUGUGGGAAGGCCCAGACAGCCAGGAUGUUGGCUUAGAAGCAGCCAUCAUUUAAAGAAAGCGUAAUAGCUCACUGGUCGAGUCGGCCUGCGCGGAAGAUGUAACGGGGCUAAACCAUGCACCGAAGCUGCGGCAGCGACGCUGAUGCGUUGUUGGGUAGGGGAGCGUUCUGUAAGCCUGUGAAGGUGUGCUGUGAGGCAUGCUGGAGGUAUCAGAAGUGCGAAUGCUGACAUAAGUAACGAUAAAGCGGGUGAAAAGCCCGCUCGCCGGAAGACCAAGGGUUCCUGUCCAACGUUAAUCGGGGCAGGGUGAGUCGACCCCUAAGGCGAGGCCGAAAGGCGUAGUCGAUGGGAAACAGGUUAAUAUUCCUGUACUUGGUGUUACUGCGAAGGGGGGACGGAGAAGGCUAUGUUGGCCGGGCGACGGUUGUCCCGGUUUAAGCGUGUAGGCUGGUUUUCCAGGCAAAUCCGGAAAAUCAAGGCUGAGGCGUGAUGACGAGGCACUACGGUGCUGAAGCAACAAAUGCCCUGCUUCCAGGAAAAGCCUCUAAGCAUCAGGUAACAUCAAAUCGUACCCCAAACCGACACAGGUGGUCAGGUAGAGAAUACCAAGGCGCUUGAGAGAACUCGGGUGAAGGAACUAGGCAAAAUGGUGCCGUAACUUCGGGAGAAGGCACGCUGAUAUGUAGGUGAAGUCCCUCGCGGAUGGAGCUGAAAUCAGUCGAAGAUACCAGCUGGCUGCAACUGUUUAUUAAAAACACAGCACUGUGCAAACACGAAAGUGGACGUAUACGGUGUGACGCCUGCCCGGUGCCGGAAGGUUAAUUGAUGGGGUUAGCGCAAGCGAAGCUCUUGAUCGAAGCCCCGGUAAACGGCGGCCGUAACUAUAACGGUCCUAAGGUAGCGAAAUUCCUUGUCGGGUAAGUUCCGACCUGCACGAAUGGCGUAAUGAUGGCCAGGCUGUCUCCACCCGAGACUCAGUGAAAUUGAACUCGCUGUGAAGAUGCAGUGUACCCGCGGCAAGACGGAAAGACCCCGUGAACCUUUACUAUAGCUUGACACUGAACAUUGAGCCUUGAUGUGUAGGAUAGGUGGGAGGCUUUGAAGUGUGGACGCCAGUCUGCAUGGAGCCGACCUUGAAAUACCACCCUUUAAUGUUUGAUGUUCUAACGUUGACCCGUAAUCCGGGUUGCGGACAGUGUCUGGUGGGUAGUUUGACUGGGGCGGUCUCCUCCUAAAGAGUAACGGAGGAGCACGAAGGUUGGCUAAUCCUGGUCGGACAUCAGGAGGUUAGUGCAAUGGCAUAAGCCAGCUUGACUGCGAGCGUGACGGCGCGAGCAGGUGCGAAAGCAGGUCAUAGUGAUCCGGUGGUUCUGAAUGGAAGGGCCAUCGCUCAACGGAUAAAAGGUACUCCGGGGAUAACAGGCUGAUACCGCCCAAGAGUUCAUAUCGACGGCGGUGUUUGGCACCUCGAUGUCGGCUCAUCACAUCCUGGGGCUGAAGUAGGUCCCAAGGGUAUGGCUGUUCGCCAUUUAAAGUGGUACGCGAGCUGGGUUUAGAACGUCGUGAGACAGUUCGGUCCCUAUCUGCCGUGGGCGCUGGAGAACUGAGGGGGGCUGCUCCUAGUACGAGAGGACCGGAGUGGACGCAUCACUGGUGUUCGGGUUGUCAUGCCAAUGGCACUGCCCGGUAGCUAAAUGCGGAAGAGAUAAGUGCUGAAAGCAUCUAAGCACGAAACUUGCCCCGAGAUGAGUUCUCCCUGACUCCUUGAGAGUCCUGAAGGAACGUUGAAGACGACGACGUUGAUAGGCCGGGUGUGUAAGCGCAGCGAUGCGUUGAGCUAACCGGUACUAAUGAACCGUGAGGCUUAACCUU
rnacentral:rRNA from 2 species